rnacentral:rRNA from 1 species
GUUGGGUAGGGGAGCGUUCUGUAAGCCUGCGAAGGUGUACUGUGAGGUAUGCUGGAGGUAUCAGAAGUGCGAAUGCUGACAUAAGUAACGAUAAUGCGGGUGAAAAACCCGCACGCCGGAAGACCAAGGGUUCCUGUCCAACGUUAAUCGGGGCAGGGUGAGUCGACCCCUAAGGCGAGGCUGAAAAGCGUAGUCGAUGGGAAACGGGUUAAUAUUCCCGUACUGGUGGUAACUGCGAUGGGGGAACGGAGAAGGCUAGGUUGUCCGGGCGACGGUCGUCCCGGUUCAAGCAUGUAGGCAGAGUGAUUAGGCAAAUCCGGUCACUUAAUGCUGAGGUGUGAUGACGAACCACUAAGGUGGUGAAGCAAUUGAUGCCCUGCUUCCAGGAAAAGCCUCUAAGCUUCAGGUUACCAACAAUCGUACCCCAAACCGACACAGGUGGUCAGGUAGAGAAUACUCAGGCGCUUGAGAGAACUCGGGUGAAGGAACUAGGCAAAAUGGUGCCGUAACUUCGGGAGAAGGCACGCUGGCGGUAAGUGAAGUCCCUCGCGGACGGAGCCGAAGCCAGUCGAAGAUACCAGCUGGCUGCAACUGUUUAUUAAAAACACAGCACUGUGCAAACACGAAAGUGGACGUAUACGGUGUGACGCCUGCCCGGUGCUGGAAGGUUAAUUGAUGGGGUUAUCCUUAGGGAGAAGCUCUUGAUCGAAGCCCCAGUAAACGGCGGCCGUAACUAUAACGGUCCUAAGGUAGCGAAAUUCCUUGUCGGGUAAGUUCCGACCUGCACGAAUGGCGUAAUGAUGGCCACGCUGUCUCCACCCGAGACUCAGUGAAAUUGAAAUCGCUGUGAAGAUGCAGUGUACCCGCGGCAAGACGGAAAGACCCCGUGAACCUUUACUAUAGCUUGACACUGAACAUUGAGCCUUGAUGUGUAGGAUAGGUGGGAGACUAUGAAAUGUGGACGCCAGUCUGCAUGGAGUCAACCUUGAAAUACCACCCUUUAACGUUUGAUGUUCUAACCUAGGCCCAUAAUCUGGGUCGGGGACCGUGUCUGGUGGGUAGUUUGACUGGGGCGGUCUCCUCCUAAAGAGUAACGGAGGAGCACGAAGGUUGGCUAAGCAUGGUCGGACAUCAUGCGGU